rnacentral:rRNA from 1 species
GACAGAGGGUGCAAACGUUGUUCGGAAUUACUGGGCGUAAAGCGCGUGUAGGCUGUCUCGCAAGUCGGGUGUGAAAGCCUUGAGCUCAACUCAAGAAAUGCACUCGGUACUGGGUGACUAGAGGACCGGAGAGGAUAGUGGAAUUCCCAGUGUAGUGGUGAAAUACGUAGAGAUUGGGAAGAACACCAGUGGCGAAGGCGGCUAUCUGGACGGUUUCUGACGCUAAGACGCGAAAGCGUGGGGAGCAAACAGG